CACCGCGGUUAUACGAGAGGCCCAAGUUGAUAGUUCUCGGCGUAAAGGGUGGUUAAGAUUGUCCCUCAAACUAAAGCCGAACGCUCUCAGAACUGUUAUACGCUCCCGAGAGUAAGAAGCCCCGCUACGAAAGUGGCUUUACUCUUUCUGACCCCACGAAAGCUGUGAAA
rnacentral:rRNA from 1 species